rnacentral:rRNA from 1 species
UCAGACGAACGCGGCGGCGUGCUUAACACUGCAAGUCGAACGGAAAGGCCCUUCGGGGUACUCGAGUGGCGAACGGGUGAGUAACACGUGGGUGAUCUGCCUGCACUUUGGGAUAAGCUGGGAAACUGGGUCUAAUACCGAAUAGGACCACGCGCUUCAUGGUGUGUGGUGGAAAGCUUUGCGGUGUGGGAUGGGCCCGCGGCCUAUCAGCUUGUUGGUGGGGUAAUGGCCUACCAAGGCGACGACGGGUAGCCGGCCUGAGAGGGUGACCGGCCACACUGGGACUGAGAUACGGCCCAGACUCCUACGGGAGGCAGCAGUGGGGAAUAUUGCACAAUGGGCGCAAGCCUGAUGCAGCGACGCCGCGUGAGGGAUGACGGCCUUCGGGUUGUAAACCUCUUUCANNAGGGACGAAGCGUNAGUGACGGUACCUAUAGAAGAAGCACCGGCCAACUACGUGCCAGCAGCCGCGGUAAUACGUAGGGUGCGAGCGUUGUCCGGAAUUACUGGGCGUAAAGAGCUCGUAGGUGGUUUGUCGCGUUGUUCGUGAAAACUCACAGCUUAACUGUGGGCGUGCGGGCGAUACGGGCAGACUAGAGUACUGCAGGGGAGACUGGAAUUCCUGGUGUAGCGGUGGAAUGCGCAGAUAUCAGGAGGAACACCGGUGGCGAAGGCGGGUCUCUGGGCAGUAACUGACGCUGAGGAGCGAAAGCGUGGGGAGCGAACAGGAUUAGAUACCCUGGUAGUCCACGCCGUAAACGGUGGGUACUAGGUGUGGGUUCCUUCCUUGGGAUCCGUGCCGUAGCUAACGCAUUAAGUACCCCGCCUGGGGAGUACGGCCGCAAGGCUAAAACUCAAAGGAAUUGACGGGGGCCCGCACAAGCGGCGGAGCAUGUGGAUUAAUUCGAUGCAACGCGAAGAACCUUACCUGGGUUUGACAUGCACAGGACGCCGGCAGAGAUGUCGGUUCCCUUGUGGCCUGUGUGCAGGUGG